rnacentral:rRNA from 1 species
CGUAACAAGGUCUCCGUAGGUGAACCUGCGGAGGGAUCAUUACACAAAUAUGAAGGCGGGCUGGAACCUCUCGGGGUUACAGCCUUGCUGAAUUAUUCACCCUUGUCUUUUGCGUACUUCUUGUUUCCUUGGUGGGUUCGCCCACCACUAGGACAAACAUAAACCUUUUGUAAUUGCAAUCAGCGUCAGUAACAAAUUAAUAAUUACAACUUUCAACAACGGAUCUCUUGGUUCUGGCAUCGAUGAAGAACGCAGCGAAAUGCGAUAAGUAGUGUGAAUUGCAGAAUUCAGUGAAUCAUCGAAUCUUUGAACGCACAUUGCGCCCUUUGGUAUUCCAAAGGGCAUGCCUGUUCGAGCCUCAUUUGUACCCUCAAGCUUUGCUUGGUGUUGGGCGUCUUGUCUCUAGCUUUGCUGGAGACUCGCCUUAAAGUAAUUGGCAGCCGGCCUACUGGUUUCGGAGCGCAGCACAAGUCGCACUCUCUAUCAGCAAAGGUCUAGCAUCCAUUAAGCCUUUUUUUCAACUUUUGACCUCGGAUCAGGUAGGGAUACCCGCCGAACUUAAGCAUAUCA